GACGGAGGAUGCAAGUGUUAUCCGGAAUCACUGGGCGUGAAGCGUCUGUAGGUGGUUUAAUAAGUUAUCUGUGAAAUACCUGGGCUUAACCUGGGCAGGUCAGAUAAGACUGUUAGACUAGAGUAUGGGAGAGGGUAGAGGAAUUUCCGGUGUAGCGGUGAAAUGCGUAGAGAUCGGAAGGAACAACAGUGGCGAAGGCGUCUACCUGGCCUAAUACUGACACUGAGGCACGAAAGCGUGGGGAGCAAACAGG
rnacentral:rRNA from 1 species